rnacentral:rRNA from 1 species
UACGUAGGCAGCAAGCGUUGUUCGAAGUUACUGGGCGUAAAGGGUGUGUAGGCGGUUCUUUAAGUUUGGUGUGAAAUCUCCCGGCUCAACCGGGAGGGUGCGCCGAAUACUGAGGGACUAGAGUGCGGGAGAGGAAAGUGGAAUUCCUGGUGUAGCGGUGAAAUGCGUAGAUAUCAGGAGGAACACCGGUGGUGUAGACGGCUUUCUGGACCGUAACUGACGCUGAGACACGAAAGCGUGGGUAGCAAACAGG